UACGAAGGGUGCAAGCGUUACUCGGAAUUACUGGGCGUAAAGCGUGCGUAGGUGGUUUGUUAAGUCUGAUGUGAAAGCCCUGGGCUCAACCUGGGAACGGCAUUGGAAACUGGCUUACUAGAGUGCGGUAGAGGGGUGUGGAAUUCCCGGUGUAGCAGUGAAAUGCGUAGAUAUCGGGAGGAACAUCUGUGGCGAAGGCGACACCCUAGACCAGCACUGACACUGAGGCACGAAAGCGUGGGGAGCAAACAGG
rnacentral:rRNA from 1 species